rnacentral:lncRNA from 10 species
UUUUUUUUUUUUUCUCAUUUAACUUUUUUAAUGGGUCUCAAAAUUCUGUGACAAAUUUUUGGUCCAGUUGUUUCCAUUAAAAAGUACUGAUUUUAAAAACUAAUAACUUAAAACUGCCACACGCAAAAAAGAAAACCAAAGUGGUCCACAAAACAUUCUCCUUUCCUUCUGAAGGUUUUACGAUGCAUUGUUAUCAUUAACCAGUCUUUUACUACUAAACUUAAAUGGCCAAUUGAAACAAACAGUUCUGAGACCAUUCUUCCACCACUGAUUAAGAGUGGGGUGGCAGGUAUUAGGGAUAAUAUUCAUU